CUGAUACUCCAAAGAAGAGUUCUCAUGCCCUCUGAAGUACUUGUGUUUCUGUCCCUCCACAAAACCCAGCAUUAGACGAUACGGAGCUAACUUCCAAGUCCUUCUGUUAUCAGCUACAACUCUACUGCAUCUCGAGGAUCUCAAACAGUAAGCACCAUUGGCCUCUCUCUACUAAGUGAACUUGUGGCAAAACUCCACCAUGUAGAACUACCUCACAAUGUAUCAGCUAGUCAUGACCAUUACCUUUCCUUUUUCGGCAAAGAGAAUACAAAAUGAUGUAAAUUAUCUCACUCCUAAAAGUCUCAGCAACGCCUCUUGAGUUUUCAUCCAAACACAAAAUAUCCACUCUUUUUGGCCAUUGUUAAGCCUAACACAAUAGUGUCUAAAGAUGUACAUAAAUUGCAAACUAAAAUAGUUACCGUACAGACAGAAUAUAUAUUAUAAGUGAAAACAAUAGUCAUAGGUGUGGACACUAUAUGGGUUGGAUUGGAAACCGGUUUGGGCGAAAUCCAACCCAAUACAACUAUUGAAACCGAACUAAACCAAAUUGGUUUGGGUUUAAUUCGAUUUGUUAGUCGGUUUGGACUUCAGCCCAAAUUAAAAACAAAUCCCUGUCUGCUAUUUGUUUGGCACGUGUAUUAAAAGACAUAAUGAAAACUUUUAAGGGUCUAUUUUCACCAUUGUUAUCCCACAUAUCCAAUAGUUAUGCCAACAAAAUAAUUACACCAAAAUAAAAGCAUGGCUACAUUUACCAUUGAUCCAAGGAUUUAAAAUUUAAAAUUAAACAGCAUGUUUUGUAAAUAAGAUCCACAAGCAGGGGUGGGAAAAUAAUCAGAAAAUCUACCAAUGUGAGUCGGUUCAAUUUGGAUCAGUUUGGUUCAAUUUAUUUAAAACUAUUAAGAAGUUGGGUCAGUUGCAGGUUAAGCAACCUACCCGUUUAUGCACCAACCUAAAUCAAUCAUAUAAUAUAUAUUUGAAUAUAAUUUUAAAAUGUAAUUUUUUAACUAAAAAUUAAAAAAUAAAAAUAAACAAAACCUUAUCAUCUCUAAAUUUCAAGAAGCAAAGAAAAUAAACCUUAGCAUCUCUUGCCCACCAUUGCUAGUGCCAUCAUCCAUCUUCAUUGGCCAUUGGCCAUCUCUCUUACUCGUGUCAUUUCUCGACUAUCUCGCCUUAAAGGAGUCAUCUAAUUUGACUUGAUGUUGCCUUGAAAGUCGGACCCAUUUGACGUCAUCACAAAGACUCAAGUAAGUUCCUUCUCAUCCAAAAUUUGUUAUUUUUAUCAAAAUUAGUUGCUUCUUCAUCCGCACGAUUGAUUAAUUGAGCAAAUUAUGUAGUUGACUAUGCUUUUGAGUUUUUCUUUUAUUUUUAUAGAUUUUUAGAUCUUUUAUCUUUGAAUUUGUAGUAUACUUAUUUGAAAUAAUUUUGUUUGUUAUAGUUGAUUGAUAAUUUAUUAGAUGAAGAUGUGUGUUUGAUGUUGGAUUAGGUUUCCAUUUGUUCCGUUGCAAAGUUGUGGCUACUUGCAUGUUAUGGUUGCUGAUUUUGGACUGAGAAUAUCUUUAAAUUAUGAUUGUUGAUUGAAAAUUUGGAGUAUCCAUGUCAACCAUCUUUCUACUCGUAGGUAAUUUGGUUUUGGUUUUUGAUUUUCUGGAUUCUUUCUUCUAUUUUAAUUUGGAAGAGGUAAAUGUAAUGUCCAAUUUUAUGAUCUAUGAGAUGUAUUUUUCAGUAUGUCUCGUUAGUUUGCUUGAUGUUCAGAAGGAAGAUAAGGUUAUUUAGAUAAUUUUGAUUCUUGAUUGAAACUUGAACGAUGUAGGUUGGUAAAUUUAAUAAUUUAUUCUUACUUAUCAAAAUUGCUUAUUAAAAUCAUCUUAGUGUGAGUGGUUUUAUUAAAUUAUAAUCUGAGCUGUAUAUUUUGAUUAUGAAGUUGAUUAAUAAUUUAUUCUUACUUAUUAAAAUUGUUUUUUUUUUAAAUCAUCUUAAGUGUGAGUGGUUUUAUUAAAUCAUGAUCUGAGAUUGUUUAUUUUGAUUAUGAAGUUUUUUUUUUAUACUUGUGUUUUCCAUAAGGUUAAGGACAUGUCUAUUUUAUGCAGAUUUGAAUAUGGAUAUUGAUGAUGAAUAUCAAUAUUUCGGUAGAAUCCCAACAUGUAUAGAGGGUGUUUCAUAGGGAUUAAAAUUNNNNAUUUUUUAGUAGAUUGUGAUAGAAAUUUUUGAAAUGUGUAGUUGAUUAGUUGUGGAACCACAAAGGAUGUAAUUAAUAUUGAUUAUUUGACAUUGACUUAAAUUAAAAUUAGAUUUUAAUCCGAACCAAACAAGCUUAUAUUAUCCUCCGGUUUCACCUUUAUGUUUAGAAAAGAGAAAAAUAAAGUUUUCGAAUCAUUUUACAAUAGGAGACUCAAAGCGGAAGAUUUUUAUUGUGAGCGCAUAUAUUGUGGGUAGUUUUAUGCUUGAGAGGUUAAGAAGUGCAAGACAAGUAUUUUGAAAGCUCAUUUGGUUACUCAUAUUAAGAGGUAUCCUAGAAGAGUUGAAGAUAAAAGACAAAAAUCUCAAGUUCUAAUAAACUGUUUGAGUGUGAUGCAAGCAAUCUUCUUGUUAUUUAGUUUAGCAAAGAAGCGUGUAGGUUUUAUGUGUUGAAAUGGUAAUUAUUGAUGAACUAUUCUUUUUAAUUUUAUAGAAAGAAUUUUAUUUAAGCAGUUUUGUAUCCUUGCAUGUCCUAAGUUUAGUUGUUCAACUCAUAAGAUUAAAAAUAUUUAACUACUAUUUUAGGAUGAGAAUUGGAGUUAAGAAAGAUUCAUGCUGCUCAACGUUAAACAGUUCACUUACUAUAGAUGCUUGGACAUCCAAUCAGAAUAUAAACUUGUUUUUGUCUCGUAUUUUCAAGCUUAAGAAAAAACAAGCUGCAAAAUAUUUGUUGAGAUAAAAAAUGACGCUAGAAGAUACUUGUUUUGUAAAAAUGUAGAUGACAAAUGGUUUGGUGUCUUUAAUUGGUGAGUGAUACAUGGUAGCUAGUACCUUUUCCAAACUCGCAAAAAAUGCUUAGGUGGACUAUGAGAAAUAUGUAAUUUAUAUUUUGAAUGGAUGUCCAAGUGUCUGUAAUAAGUGAUACUUUUUUGAUUUUAAGCAAUAAGGAUAUUUUUUCAACUCCAAUUUCUUAUCCAAAUAGAGUUGGUAAAUUUCUCUAAUAAUGGUCCUACGAGAUGGAGUAUUAAACCAAGGACAUGCUACACUAAAAAACUAUCCAAAUCUCAUUCCUUCGCUAAAGCUAGAAGGGGUAGUUCAUGUUACAUUUUACCACAUGCAAGUAUGCCUGCUUCCUUUUUAAAGCCAAUAGCCUAGAAGAUUGGUCCUAUUACCCUCGAGCUGUUUAAUGAGUAACCAAAUGACCUUUCAAAGUACGUGUCCUGUGCUUUUUAGCCUCACAAGCAUAAGAUUGCUCCCAAUAUUUGCUCUCAUACUUAACAUCUUCCACUUUUGGAUCCUACUAUUGCAAAAUAAUACCACAUCCAAAGUUUUCCUAUUUUUCUCUCUUCCCUAAACAUGAGGUUGAAAGUGGAGGAAAAGUUGUAGCACUUGUACAAGUAUUUGUUGUUGCUGAGUAUCCACUGGUUUUUGAAAUUCAUCAUCAAUAUCCAUAUUCUAAUCUGUACAAUAUAGGCUUGUCGUAUUAGGAAAAACCGUGGAUAAGUAAUAUAGAUGCCAAAUAAGCAGUUCAUAUCAUAAUUUAAUCAAAAUACUUGCACUACGAUGAUUUUAAUAUGAUAAAGUAAGAAAAAAUGAUUAAUUUGCCAAACUGAGACAUUUUUUAAUCAAGAAUCAAUUUUAUCUAACAGCCUUGAGUUCCUUUUGUUCAUUAAGCAAUCUAAUAAGAUAUAAUGCAAAAUCUCAUAGAUAAUACAAAACUGGAUGUUAUAUUUGCUUCUUUCAAAUUAAAACAUAAGAGACAAUCCAAGUAAACCAAAUCACCUAGGAGUUGAAAGACUGUUGACAUUGAUAAUAAAAAAUCAUAACUGGAUAUUCCUAUCAAUCUAAAAUUAGCAACUGUAAUGGACAAUCAACCACAACUUUGCAUAGGAACAAAUAGAAAGUUAAAUCCAACAUCAAACGAAAAUUUGUCUAAUAAAUAUUGAUCUGCUAUGCUAGAGGAAAUUAUUUCAAAUUAGCAUAUACAAAUUCAAACAUAAAGAAAACCUGAAAAACCUAUAUAAUUUUGGAAAAAACUCAAAAAGUAUAGUGAGACACAUCAUUUGAGGAAUUAAUCAAUCUUCGGCCAAUGAAGAAGCAACUAAUUUUGAGAAAAAGAACAAAUUUUGAAUCAGAAGGAACUUACCUGAAUCCAUUGGAAUUACGUCAAACAGCUUCAACUUUCGAGAGAACAACAAAUCAAAGUAGUUGACUCCUUCAAGGCGAAAUGGCGAAACGACCGAGAGACAGCGAGGUGAAGACGAAUAGUGACAAUGGCGGGCUAGAGACAUUGAGGUUUCUUUUUUUUAUUGUACGAUGGAUUGAGGGAGCUUUAGGUUUUUUUAAGUUAACAGUUUUGAAUUUUAAAAUUGAAUUAAAAUAUGUGUUAUCAACUUGGUUGUUUAACCUGCAAUUGAACCAUGGGUUUAUGUUAAUCAGAUUUCAUAUUCAUAUCCAGCCCAUGGGUUUAUGUUAAUCAGAUUUCAUAUUCAUAUCCAGCCCAUGGGUUCAUAUCCAGCCCGAGGUUUUUUGAGUUAUUUCCCACCCCUACUGCUAUGUAGUAAAUUGUAAUUGUAAAUUAGUGUUCACAAAAGCUGUAAUAAAUUGAAGUAGUGAACAUCUGAAGGGCCCAUAGCCAUAUGUCGUUUCAUGUUUUACAAGGAUAUGGCAUGUUAACCAAAGUGUUGGGUUAAUAUAGAUGCACCUUAAUGCUGAAGGCAUCAAGAAACAAGCUAAAAUAUUAUUGGGAAGUAAUGAAUAUACAUGCUUCAUCCGGAAAAAUAUAGGAUUAGGGUGGGGGUUUGUCCAUUAUACUGAGAAAUCUUCACUUCGGCACCGCCAGUAUCUAGUACAGAUUUUGAAAUUUUCCUGAAAGCAGUGAACUAAUCAACUGAUAUCUUUAUGAAUCAUUGACAACCUCUGCUGCGCCGAAGGACAGUUUACCUUAAUUGCUGCUUAUUCAGGCUAAAUAUUGAUUUCUUAUAACAUUUGAGCACAAUGUUUGACAUGGAAUGUUCUUGCCCCGACUUUAGAUGACGAGUUUUCAUGUUUGAAUUUUGCAUGAGAAUAUAAUGAUCUCUGAAAUUUGAACUCGUGCAUUCUGUGAUGGCAGGUUACAGAGGCAUGAAAAGGGACUGCUACCUGGUGCUUAGACUGCUGUUAAUAUUUGUCCUUGUAACAAUAUCUUGUGCCUUAAUUCUAAGCUAUGCCAAUGCCGAUGCCAAUGUCGACGAUGAUAUCUGUUAUCCAAGACUUUGAGAGGCAGGUUUGCACAGCGAACUUUCAUUUGGUCACACAUGAUCUUUACGAGUAUAUGGUCUCUCCUAGUACUGGAAUACUUGUAUACUACCCUUGACCACUUUCUAGUAAGUCGUUUAUUAUGAUU
rnacentral:lncRNA from 1 species